rnacentral:hammerhead_ribozyme from 1 species
AUCCAGCUGGCGAGUCCCAAAUAGGACGAAAUGCGCGUCCUGGAU